GCAUAUCAAUAAGCGGAGGAAAAGAAACCAACAGGGAUUGCCCCUAGUAACGGCGAGUGAAGCGGCAACAGCUCAAAUUUGAAAUCUGGCUCUUUUAGGGUCCGAGUUGUAAUUUGCAGAGGGCGCUUUGGCGUUGGCAGCGGUCCAAGUUCCUUGGAACAGGACGUCACAGAGGGUGAGAAUCCCGUACGUGGUCGCUGGCCUUCGCCGUGUAAAGCCUCUUCGACGAGUCGAGUUGUUUGGGAAUGCAGCUCUAAAUGGGAGGUAAAUUUCUUCUAAAGCUAAAUACUGGCCAGAGACCGAUAGCGCACAAGUAGAGUGAUCGAAAGAUGAAAAGCACUUUGGAAAGAGAGUCAAAUAGCACGUGAAAUUGUUAAAAGGGAAGCGCUUGCAGCCAGACUUGCCCGUAGUUGCUCAUCCAGGCUUUUGCCUGGUGCAUUCUUCUAUGGGCAGGCCAGCAUCAGUUUGGGCGGUUGGAUAAAGGUCUCUGUCAUGUACCUCCUUUUGGGGAGGCCUUAUAGGGGAGACGACAUGCAACCAGCCUGGACUGAGGUCCGCGCAUUCGCUAGGAUGCUGGCGUAAUGGCUGUAAGCGGCCCGUCUUGAAACACGGACCAAGGAGUCUAACAUCUAUGCGAGUGUUUGGGUGUCAAGCCCGAACGCGCAAUGAAAGUGAACGGAGGUGGGAACCCUUAAGGGUGCACCAUCGACCGAUCCUGAUGUCUUCGGAAGGAUUUGAGUAAGAGCAUAGCUGUUGGGACCCGAAAGAUGGUGAACUAUGCUUGAAUAGGGUGAAGCCAGAGGAAAACUCUGGUGGAGGCUCGCAGCGGUUUCUGACGUGCAAAUCGAUCGUCAAAUUUGGGCAUAGGGGCGAAAGACUAAUCGAACUAUCUAGUAGCUGUUCUGCGAG
rnacentral:rRNA from 1 species